rnacentral:tRNA from 1 species
GCCCAAGUAGCUUAACCCUAAACCUAAAGCAACGACCUUGUAAGUCGAAGAUGGGAACUACACUUCCCCAUGGGCA